CGGCGGACGGGUGAGUAACACGUGGGUAACCUACCUAUAAGACUGGGACAACUUCGGGAAACCGGAGCUAAUACCGGAUAAGAUAUCGAACCGCAUGGUUCGAUAGUGAAAGAUGGUUUUGCUAUCACUUAUAGAUGGACCCGCGCCGUAUUAGCUAGUUGGUGAGGUAACGGCUCACCAAGGCAACGAUACGUAGCCGACCUUAGAGGGUGAUCGGCCACACUGGAACUGAGACACGGUCCAGACUCCUACGGGAGGCAGCAGUU
rnacentral:rRNA from 1 species